rnacentral:rRNA from 1 species
GAUGAACGCUGGCGGCGUGCCUAAUACAUGCAAGUCGAGCGAACGGACGAGAAGCUUGCUUUUCUGAUGUUAGCGGCGGACGGGUGAGUAACACGUGGAUAACCUACCUAUAAGACUGGGAUAACUUCGGGAAACCGGAGCUAAUACCGGAUAAUAUUUUGAACCGCAUGGUUCAAAAGUGAAAGACGGUCUUGCUGUCACUUAUAGAUGGAUCCGCGCUGCAUUAGCUAGUUGGUAAGGUAACGGCUUACCAAGGCAACGAUGCGUAGCCGACCUGAGAGGGUGAUCGGCCACACUGGAACUGAGACACGGUCCAGACUCCUACGGGAGGCAGCAGUAGGGAAUCUUCCGCAAUGGGCGAAAGCCUGACGGAGCAACGCCGCGUGAGUGAUGAAGGUCUUCGGAUCGUAAAACUCUGUUAUUAGGGAAGAACAUAUGUGUAAGUAACUGUGCACAUCUUGACGGUACCUAAUCAGAAAGCCACGGCUAACUACGU